rnacentral:rRNA from 1 species
AUUGAACGCUGGCGGCGUGCUUAACACAUGCAAGUCGAUCGGUAACAGGUGUAGCAAUACAUGCUGACGAGAGGCGGACGGGUGAGGAACGCUUGGGAAUCUGCCUAUCAGCGGGGGACAACCCGGGGAAACUCGGGCUAAUACCGCAUACGCUCUACGGAGGAAAGCCGGGGACCGCAAGGCCUGGCACUGCUAGAUGAGCCCAAGUCGGAUGAGCUAGAUGGCGGGGUAACGGCCCCCCAAGGCGACGAUCCGUAGCUGGUCUGAGAGAACGAUCAGCCACACCGGAACUGAGACACGGUCCGAACUCCUACGGGAGGCAGCAGUGGGGAAUAUGGGACAAUGGGGGAAACCCUGAUCCAGCGACGCCGCGUGGGUGAAGAAGGCCUGCGGGUUGUAAAGCCCUUUCGGUAGGGAAGAAAUCUCUUGCUCUAACAAAGCAGGAGUUUGACUUAACCUACAUAAGAAGCACCGGCUAACUCUGUGCCAGCAGCCGCCGUAAGAC